rnacentral:rRNA from 1 species
CCUACGGGGGGCAGCAGUGAGGAAUAUUGGUCAAUGGCCGUAAGGCUGAACCAGCCAAGUCGCGUGAAGGAAGAAGGAUCUAUGGUUUGUAAACUUCUUUUAUAGGGGAAUAAAGGUAUCCACGUGUGGAUAUUUGCAUGUACCCUAUGAAUAAGCAUCGGCUAACUCCGUGCCAGCAGCCGCGGUAAUACGGAGGAUGCGAGCGUUAUCCGGAUUUAUUGGGUUUAAAGGGUGCGUAGGUUGUUUUUUAAGUCAGCGGUGAAAGUUUGUGGCUCAACCAUAAAAUUGCCGUUGAAACUGGCAGACUUGAGUGUGUUUGAGGUAGGCGGAAUGCGUGGUGUAGCGGUGAAAUGCAUAGAUAUCACGCAGAACUCCGAUUGCGAAGGCAGCUUACUAAGCCAUAACUGACACUGAAGCACGAAAGCGUGGGGAUCGAACAGGAUUAGAUACCCCGGUAGUC